rnacentral:rRNA from 1 species
UACAGAGACUGCAAGCGUUAUUCGGAUUCACUGGGCGUAAAGGGCGCGUAGGCGGUGAUGUGAGUGUGAUGUGAAAGCCCCGGGCUUAACCUGGGAAGUGCAUCGCAAACGACAUGACUGGAGUAGAUGAGAGGGUGGCGGAAUUUCCGGUGUAGCGGUGAAAUGCGUAGAGAUCGGAAGGAACGUCGAUGGCGAAGGCAGCCACCUGGCAUCAUACUGACGCUGAGGCGCGAAAGCUAGGGGAGCAAACAGG